UGCACACUUCCAAUUUUGGAAAAAUUUGAAUUUCUCUCUUGCAUGGAUGUAUGGGCGUGCACUAGGCCCAUGAGAUAAUGUAAUCUGAUCCAUAGUUCAAUGUUCAUCAUGUUGAAAUCAUGUUAGAAGUCCAUGCAAUUGGGUAUGAAAAAAGGAAGUUGAAAUUAUCCAAAUGGUCCCUUAACUUACAUCCAUGCGCAAGUACCUCAUACUUUGGCCAAAUAAGAUGAUUUUAGACUUUUUGGAAAGGUGAGAUCAAGGGGAAAAA
rnacentral:lncRNA from 1 species